rfam:Deinococcus peraridilitoris DSM 19664 plasmid pDEIPE01, complete sequence.
CUGACUGAUAGAAGCUUUGAAGCGUCGUCCUGUACACGGGCACCUGGGACGCGUGGAGCCAGUGGUGCGACCGGCUAUUAGUCAC